rnacentral:rRNA from 1 species
GACGAACGCUGGCGGCGUGCUUAACACAUGCAAGUCGAACGGAAAGGCCCUGCUUUUGUUGGUUGCUCGAGUGGCGAACGGGUGAGUAACACGUGAGUAACCUGCCCUUGACUGUGGGAUAACUUCAGGAAACUGGGGCUAUUACCGGAUAGGAUCUCCUGCUGCAUGUUGGGGGUUGGAAAGUGUCGGCGGUUGUGGAUGGACUCGCGGCUUAUCAGCUUGUUGGUGGGGUAGUGGCUUACCAAGGCUUCGACGGGUAGCCGGCCUGGGAGGGUGACCGGCGACAAUGCGACUGAGAGACGGCCCAGAAUCCUACGGGAGGCAGCGGUCGGGAGUCUUGCACAGCGGGCCGACGUCUGAGGCAGCGACGCCGCGUGCGGGAUGCCGGCCUUCGGGUUGUAAACCGCUUUCGAAUGAAACGAAGCGGGCGUGACGGUACCGGGUCAAGAAGCAACGGCUAACUACGUG